rnacentral:lncRNA from 10 species
CUAAAACUUAAAGUAUAAUAAUAAUAAAAAAAAAAAAGAACCAAAAUGAAACAUAAAAGAAAAAAAAGAAGGGAGGAAAGAAAACAAGAGAAAAAUCUCUAAGGUUUUCUUUCAAGGGUUGCAAAUCAUUGAAUUAUGAGUUACACAGACAUUUACAAGCUUGGCCUAGAUAGAGUAUAGUAAUCUAUAAAUGCUAUUCAAGUGAUUUAUGGUACAACUGUUCUAACACAUUAACAAUAUCAGGAAAUGUAUUUAAUUUAUUCUCAGGGAUGCACAUUUACAUUAUUCACAACAAGCCAUUUAUAGGGAAACGUGUAACCCUUAAACUAAAGUGAAUGCAUCUCUAGUGAGUUUUGAGCAGUUAUAACUGUCUAAUAAAUGCUUGUUUGCUAACUUACUGUACAAGCCAGUGUAAAUGUUUUCCAGUUCUUCUGUAAGCACUUUAUUCUAUGAAUUAGUGAACAGUUUGGAACACAUGGCAGAAUCUGUACACUGGGUCCUAAAUGCUGAAGAAUCUGAAUGAUAAAGAACCUACUUUCCUUGCUAAAAUUUUGCUAGCUCAUGAAAAAGAAAAUCAUCUUUUACUCCUGAUUCUAUAUUCUAGAUUUAUCAGAUGUAGCAGUGACAUAUAUUUCAAGGAUCUGAGGAUUUCUUAGCAUAUUGGCAACUUCUGGAAAAUGUACCAUCUAGCAGACUGUUGUGUCACUGGUCUAGUUCCCCCUCUACCUUCAUCAGGACAAAAAUAAUGUCUUGGAAUUUGUUAGAUCUUUAUUAAAAAUAUGCAUAUGUGCAUAGCAUGGAGAGUGGGGUGAAGAGGAAAGACAGAAAAAAAGAAAGAUGGGGAAAUGGGGAGACAGGAACAGGAAUGAGAUAGAGUGAGGGAGCAAGAGAAGUAGGAGAUAGGAAGAGAGACUCAAGCUCAAUUGUUGGGGGCUUUUAUGUCUUCUACCAUUUAUUUAUCUUAGGAACUCUUUGAGAAAUAUUUACUAACUAACCAUAUUAUAGAUAUGAAAACUGAGGGCUAUAUCUCUAGAUAUAGAGAAUGUAAUUACAAUUUUAAUAAUCUUUUAUCAAUAAACAGUGACAACCCAAUUCAAAGUAAUUAAAUGGUAACCACUAAAAUUGUGUAUCUUUUGCAAGUGUUCCCUCAGAAAACUACAGUGCACAGGGCAUUGCCCUUUUACAGAUUUGGACAGCUGAGUUUUACAAAAUGGAAUUAUAAUAUGUGUCUGAAACAUAAUAUACUUCAUUGAUUUUGUGUCUUUUGUUCUUGGAGAUGCCUCCAGUUGUCCUGACUAUAUGUUCUCCGUAGUUUGACCAUUGGCAAGGACACUUCUUGUCACCAUGCAAGCACUUUGUUGCACUAGAGGACCAUUCUUCCCACGAUUCCAGCUAUGUGACCUGCCUGCUCUCACUUCACCGAAGUAAAAGCUUCCUGAGGCCUUCCCAGAAACCAUGCUUCCUGUACAGCUUGCAGGACU